GCAGGGGUGGCGGAGCGGUCAAACGCGCAGGACUUAAGAUCCUGUGACUUAGUGUCUUCGAAGGUUCAAAUCCUUCCCCCUGCA
rnacentral:tRNA from 1 species